CAGAAUCUUUUGAGCCAGGUUAAAAAGUUUGUUGUUGCAGACAGAAAUGUUCUUUUCUUGGAUUAGGCAUUUGCAUGGGAAAUGGAAUGUGGAGGUCCCGGCUCAACUUUCUGUGCAACCACAUGUGAACAAAUUCAUGCUGUGGCCCCUUGUUGCCCUUUACCCUACUUUGCUUGGUUUAAAGCCUGUGGGAGGUGGUUGACAUCUUCUGUCUUCUGUAGGGACAUCAGCAUGUAUGAUCCAAGACCAGGGAUUCUGGACAUCACCACAGUAAUCAUGAUAAAGAAGGGGCGUAAGGAGCACCCCGGCAGCACAACAGAGAGAAACCUCCCAGGGUUCAGCUGAGGGGUGGAUGUGACAGCAACGGGCUCACUCUGAAAGCAAUGCACCUUCCCAGUGCACCUGUCAAGAGCCCACUCUGGAACAGAAGAUCAGAGCAAACGGGGACUGAGGAGAACAAAAGCUGACCCAAACCUUUGACCUAAAUUUAACAUAAAGCCAAAUGAAACCUUAGAGGUGAACACUGUGUGGUCUGCACUAGGAAUAAUGAGCCAAACUCAAUCCUCAACUGGACCUGGAGUGAGGCAGUGGCUUCUAAGCUCCCCACCAGUUACAGCAGUGCAAAGCUCUGUGUCAGAAGAUGCUGCAUCAGGAUUUGUACAAGGCUUUGACAAGAGCAUUUCCCAUUCCAUGAGCUGAGAGGGACCCGUACAAGAUGGGUCUGUUGCUCAGUUAUGGGGAAGGGCUACAUGAUGAGGAACAGAAGUUCUGUGUCCAUGCAACUUGUACAGCAUUAAGUCUCAAGAGCAAUCUUCUAUUAGAGCACUGUCACAAGGACAUGCCCAGAGACAGAUGGAAAAUGAAAUGUAAGUGAUGCAGGGGAGCCAAGCCUGCUGUUAAUAACCCAGCCCGUUUCAGACAUACUUGUCCCCCCAUCAUCCUUCUGAAGUAUUUUAACAGAACCCCUAUGCAAAGGGAGACCCUCAUAAGAUGCCUACUCCUGCCCUUCCUGAGACCACCAUGUUCAUUUUUCUUCAAAACAUUCAGCUGUGGCAGCUUUUGGCUUUUAAUCUGAUUUAUGACCCUUUGAGAUGCCGUUGAGGUUAUA